CCAGCCCAAAAAGUAUUCUGUAGGUGCACAUGAUAUUUCCUCUUCAUUUAAUUGCUCUGAGCAUCAUUGCAUUGUCACACAAGUGAGACUUGGAAAUGCAGUUUUCUAACUAAUUUCAAGUUCUGUCGCAAGGGGAAGGAGGAAAUGGUUUUGCCAAUAGGGACAAUGCAUACUUCCUGCCACAGGCAGGAGCAUCUUGGCAGUGAUCUGCAAGACUCACCCUCCCAGGAAGCAGAGCACCCACACAGCCCUGGGCUCGUCUCUGUGACAAGAUGUAUGAGUGUGUGGGUGCUGGACAAGAUAAAUACCAGGAGCAGGUGAGAGAAGAAGUGGGAACAGAGGGGGCUGCUUGAUGAACUGGAGAAUGUGAGAGGACCACUCAGUCCCCACAGUACGAACCGAAUGGCUUCCUUCUCUGGGGCUAAAGACAGGUCAUGAGGGAUAAAAUUACCAACCCAGGAAAAAGAAGAUGUUUAUAGCUUCUGCUACUUUCACAAAAAUAGAUGAAAGGAAAGGUUGUUUUCCUACCCUCCA